UACGUAGGCAGCAAGCGUUGUUCGGAGUUACUGGGCGUAAAGGGUGUGUAGGCGGUUUUUUAAGUUUGGGGUGAAAUCUUCCGGCUCAACCGGGAGGGUGCGCCGAAUACUGAGGGACUAGAGUGCGGGAGAGGAAAGUGGAAUUCCUGGUGUAGCGGUGAAAUGCGUAGAUAUCAGGAGGAACACCGGUGGUGUAGACGGCUUUCUGGACCGUAACUGACGCUGAGACACGAAAGCGUGGGUAGCAAACAGG
rnacentral:rRNA from 1 species